AACGCACCUUGCGCCCUCUGGCUAUUCCGGAGGGCAUGCCUGUUUGAGUAUCAUGAACACCUCAACUCUCAUGGCUUACCAUGAUGAGCUUGGACUUUGGGGGCUUUUGCUGGCUUGGGGGUCAGCUCCUCUCAAACGAAUCAGCUUGCCAGUGUUUGGUGGCAUCGCAGGUGUGAUAACUGUCUACGCUUGUUGGCAUUCCACCGAGGAACCUUCAGUGAUGGGGGUUCUCUGGGGGCUUAUAAAUGCGUCUCUCCUCAGUGAAGACAGCUCUUUCAAUGUUUGAUCUCAAAUCAGGUAGGACUACCCGCUGAACUUAA
rnacentral:misc_RNA from 1 species